rnacentral:rRNA from 1 species
CAGUAGCCACGGUAAUACGUAGGUGGCAAGCGUUGUCCGGAAUUAUUGGGCGUAAAGCGCGCGCAGGUGGUUUAAUAAGUCUGAUGUGAAAGCCCACGGCUCAACCGUGGAGGGUCAUUGGAAACUGUUAAACUUGAGUGCAGGAGAGAAAAGUGGAAUUCCUAGUGUAGCGGUGAAAUGCGUAGAGAUUAGGAGGAACACCAGUGGCGAAGGCGGUUUUUUGGCCUGUAACUGACACUGAGGCGCGAAAGCGUGGGGGGCAAACAGGAUUAGAUACCCCAGUAGUCCCUGUCUCUUAUAC